rnacentral:rRNA from 1 species
AGCUCUCCGAGUGGUGUGGACGUUUAUUGGGCCUAAAGCAUCCGUAGCUGGCUGAGCAAGUCCCCUGUUAAACCCACCGAUUUAAUCGUUGGCGUGCGGGGGAUACUGUUCGGCUAGGGGACGAGAGAGGCAGGCGGUAUUCCCGGGGUAGGGGUGAAAUCCUAUAAUCCCGAGAAGACCACCAGUGGCGAAGGCUGCCUGCUAGAACGCGCCCGACGGUGAGGGAUGAAAGCUGGGGGAGCGAACC